rnacentral:misc_RNA from 1 species
GAUGAAGAACGUAGCGAAAUGCGAUAAGUAAUGUGAAUUGCAGAAUUCAGUGAAUCAUCGAGUCUUUGAACGCACAUUGCGCCCCCUGGUAUUCCGGGGGGCAUGCCUGUCCGAGCGUCAUUGCUGCCCUCAAGCACGGCUUGUGUGUUGGGCCUCCGUCCUCCUCCCGGGGGACGGGCCCGAAAGGCAGCGGCGGCACCGCGUCCGGUCCUCGAGCGUAUGGGGCUUCGUCACCCGCUCUUGUAGGCCCGGCCGGCGCUUGCCGACACAUCAAUCUUUUUUCCAGGUUGACCUCGGAUCAGGAAGGGAUACCCGCUGAACUUAAGCAUAUCAAUAAGCGGAGGA